rnacentral:misc_RNA from 1 species
AGAUUUCAAAGUUAAAAUGUAUGGAAAGCAUCAUCCUAACUCCACACUACAAGGGAAACAGACAACAGAACAGAUAAUAUCAAACAAAACGAAGAUGAAGGUAGUUAGAGGAAAUGAGAAAAUAUUUGCAUGAGAAAAUGUUAGAUAAUGUCGAUUUCAACGUAACAAAUACACAUUAAAAAACAGUACUAUUGGAGUGGACAGUAGAAGCUGCAUCUGUGUAAUCUUGGCUGAAUGUUCUGUUCCAACUGAACUAGAAUUCCUUGGUUUUGUUAGCAUGAUUAUAGUGUUUGAAAACCUUAUAAUCAUGAUUACAGGGUUUCUAACUACUUAGUGAC